rnacentral:lncRNA from 1 species
CAUAAAUGUUGCCAUAUGCCCUUUGACCCAAAAUAACCAUGUAAUGUCAAGUUAGUCCUCUUUUGGAUUCUAUGUUAAAACAAUUUUUUUUUAAACAUUUGCUUUUACGGUACUACACACUGUGUUAAAAUGAACACUAUUAUACUUUUUAUUAAUUAUGUAGGCUUUAUAUAAAUCUACAAAUUAAUGGCAAGAUUUUUAAGUAUGCAUU